GAUGAACGCUGGCGGCGUGCCUAAUACAUGCAAGUCGAGCGAACAGACGAGGAGCUUGCUCCUCUGACGUUAGCGGCGGACGGGUGAGUAACACGUGGAUAACCUACCUAUAAGACUGGGAUAACUUCGGGAAACCGGAGCUAAUACCGGGUAAUAUAUUGAACCGCAUGGUUCAAUAGUGAAAGACGGUUUUGCUGUCACUUAUAGAUGGAUCUGCGCCGCAUUAGCUAGUUGUUAAGGUAACGGCUUACCAAGGCAACGAUGCGUAGCCGACCUGAGAGGGUGAUCGGACACACUGGAACGGAGACACGGUCCAGAAUCCUACGGGAGGCAGCAGUAGGAAAUCUUCCGCAAUGGGCGAAGGCCUGAAGGAGCAACGCCGCGGGAGUGAUGAAGGUCUUCGGAUCGUAAAACUCUGUUAUUAGGGAAGAACAAAUGUGUAAGUAACUAUGAACGUCUUGACGGUACCUAAUCAGAAAGCCACGGCUAACUACGUG
rnacentral:rRNA from 1 species